AGGGCACUACCAGGAGUGGAUCCUGCGGCUCAAUUUGACUCAACACGGGAAAGCUCACCUGGUCCGGACACUGGAAGGAUUGACAGAUUAAGAGCUCUUUCUUGAUUCAGUGGGUGGUGGUGCAUGGCCGUUCUUAGUUGGUGGAGCGAUUUGUCUGGUUAAUUCCGAUAACGAACGAGACUCUAGCCUACUAAAUAGGUGUUCCGAUCCCAUCAGUCGGACGCUCUUCUUAGAGGGACAAGCGGCGUUUAGCCGCACGAGACAGAGCAAUAACAGGUCUGUGAUGCCCUUAGAUGUCCGGGGCCGCACGCGCGCUACACUGAAGGAACCAGCGUGUGUCCCUGUCCGGCAGGACUGGGUAAUCCGUUGAACCUCCUUCGUGAUAGGGAUAGGGGCUUGUAAUUGUUCCCCUUGAACGAGGAAUUCCCAGUAAGCGUGAAUCAUCAGUUCACGUUGAUUACGUCCCUGGCCUUUGUACACACCGCCCGUACUACUACUGAUUGGAUGAUUUAAUGAGGU
rnacentral:rRNA from 1 species